rnacentral:rRNA from 1 species
UACGUAGGGUGCAAGCGUUAUUCGGAAUUACUGGGCGUAAAGCGUGCGUAGGCGGUUCGUUAAGUCUGAUGUGAAAGCCCUGGGCUCAACCUGGGAAUGGCAUUGGAUACUGGCGAUCUAGAGUGCGGUAGAGGGCAGUGGAAUUCCCGGUGUAGCAGUGAAAUGCGUAGAGAUCGGGAGGAACAUCUGUGGCGAAGGCGACUGCCUGGACCAGCACUGACACUGAGGCACGAAAGCGUGGGGAGCAAACAGG